CACGUAGGGCGCAAGCGUUGUCCGGAAUUAUUGGGCGUAAAGAGCUCGUAGGCGGUCUGUUGCGUCCGCUGUGAAAACCCGGGGCUUAACCCCUGGCUUGCAGUGGAUACGGACAGACUAGAGGUAGGUAGGGGAGAAUGGAAUUCCCGGUGUAGCGGUGAAAUGCGCAGAUAUCGGGAAGAACACCCGUGGCGAAGGCGGCUCUCUGGGACGGUACUGACGCUGAGACGCGAAAGCGUGGGGAGCGAACAGG
rnacentral:rRNA from 1 species